rnacentral:lncRNA from 1 species
AGGUGGCAAGUUGUUGCCUAGCAAGACAACCCAAGAGGAAGGGGGGGGGUGAAUUGGAUUUUCAAAAAUUUAAAUAAGAUAUGUGCUGAUUUUGCAAAACAAUGAAGAGUAUGUGAGUGCAAAAAAUUAUGCUAUCAACUAAGCAAGAAUAUGGAGCAAAGAAUAGAAAACAAGCAACACACAAGCAUCAUAACUUUUAUAGUAGUUCGGUGCCCCC